rnacentral:rRNA from 1 species
UACGUAGGGACCAAGCGUUGUUCGGAUUUACUGGGCGUAAAGGGCGCGUAGGCGGCGUGUUAAGUCACUUGUGAAAUCUCUAAGCUUAACUUAGAACGGUCAAGUGAUACUGAUGUGCUAGAGUGCAGAAGGGGCAACCGGAAUUCUUGGUGUAGCGGUGAAAUGCGUAGAUAUCUGGAGGAACACCGGUGGCGAAGGCGACAUCCUGGACCGGUAUUGACGCUGAGGCGCGAAAGCCAGGGGAGCAAACGGG